AGAGUUUGAUCCUGGCUCAGGACGAACGCUGGCGGCGUGCCUAAUACAUGCAAGUCGAGCGGAUGAAGGGGAGCUUGCUCCCCGGAUUCAGCGGCGGACGGGUGAGUAACACGUGGGCAACCUGCCUGUAAGACUGGGAUAACUCCGGGAAACCGGGGCUAAUACCGGAUAACUUCUUUUCCCGCAUGGGGAGAGGUUGAAAGACGGUUAUGCUGUCACUUACAGAUGGGCCCGCGGCGCAUUAGCUUGUUGGUGGGGUAACGGCCUACCAAGGCAACGAUGCGUAGCCGACCUGAGAGGGUGAUCGGCCACACUGGGACUGAGACACGGCCCAGACUCCUACGGGAGGCAGCAGUAGGGAAUCUUCCGCAAUGGACGCAAGUCUGACGGAGCAACGCCGCGUGAGUGACGAAGGCCUUCGGGUCGUAAAACUCUGUUAUCAGGGAAGAACAAGUGCCGUUUAACUAUCGGCACCUUGACGGUACCUGACCAGAAAGCCGCGGCUAACUACGUGCCAGCAGCCGCGGUAAUACGUAGGUGGCAAGCGUUGUCCGGAAUUAUUGGGCGUAAAGCGCGCGCAGGCGGCUUCUUAAGUCUGAUGUGAAAGCCCACGGCUCAACCGUGGAGGGUCAUUGGAAACUGGGAGGCUUGAGUGCAGAAGAGAAGAGCGGAAUUCCACGUGUAGCGGUGAAAUGCGUAGAGAUGUGGAGGAACACCAGUGGCGAAGGCGGCUCUUUGGUCUGUAACUGACGCUGAGGCGCGAAAGCGUGGGGAGCGAACAGGAUUAGAUACCCUGGUAGUCCACGCCGUAAACGAUGAGUGCUAAGUGUUAGGGGGUUUCCGCCCCUUAGUGCUGCAGCAAACGCAUUAAGCACUCCGCCUGGGGAGUACGGCCGCAAGGCUGAAACUCAAAGGAAUUGACGGGGGCCCGCAC
rnacentral:rRNA from 1 species